GCUUGCUUAGGCAGUGCAUUUGCUAAAAUUGGAAUAACCCAGAAGAUUAGUAUGGCCCUAUGUAAGAAUGACAUAUAAAUUAGUGAAACGAUUCAUAUUUUU
ensembl:snRNA U6 U6 spliceosomal RNA